AAAUGAGCUCUCAGAGGCCUCCCAGCAGUGACCCAGAAUGAGGUGAGCAGCAAAUUCUCCCUUGGGAAAGGCAGCAGAAGCCAGUUGGGCAGUGGGUGCUGCUCCCCUGAGGUUGGCUCACCCAUCCCCCAGCCCCCCACCCCAGGAAUAGCUGUGUGACCUUCAGCAAGUUACUGAGUUGAUCUGUGUCUCACGUAAGAGAACCAACUUAAUUAUAGUUCCGGCACAGUCAGGUUGCUGUCAGAAUUAAAUGUGUGAAUUUGUAUGAAGGGAUCUGAAUAGAGCCUGACUUAUGGGAAGUGCUGUAUUUCAGCGCACACUCUGAAUAGCAUAAUCAUUACUAAAAGAAUUUUUUUUUUGAGACGGGGUCUCACUCUGUCUCCCAGGCUGGAGUGCGGUGGUGUGAACACGGCUCACUACAGCCUCAACCUUCCAGGCUCAGGUGAUCCUCCCACAUCAGCCUCCUAAACAGCUGGGACUACAGGUGCAGGCCACUGCACCAGGCUAAUUUUCUGUGGGUUUUGUUGUUGUUAUUGUUUGUAGAGAUGGGUUUUGCUAUGUUUCCCAGGCUGGUCUUGAACUCCUGGGCUCAAGUGAUCUGCCCGCCUUGGCAGGACUACAGGUGUGAGCCAUUGCACCCUGCCUACCCUGGCCCAUUGACUAUUAUGAAUUAAAGGCUAUUGAAAAACAGCAGGUGCAUCGCUGGCAAAAGUAUACUUGUGUAACGAACUUGCACAUUCUGCGCAUGUAUUUCAGAAC
rnacentral:lncRNA from 10 species